AUUGAACGCUGGCGGCAUGCUUUACACAUGCAAGUCGAACGGUAACAGGCCGCAAGGUGCUGACGAGUGGCGCACGGGUGAGUAGUGCAUCGGAACGUGCCCAGUCGUGGGGGAUAACUACUCGAAAGAGUAGCUAAUACCGCAUACGAUCUAUGGAUGAAAGCGGGGGACCGUAAGGCCUCGCGCGAUUGGAGCGGCCGAUGUCAGAUUAGGUAGUUGGUGGGGUAAAGGCUCACCAAGCCAACGAUCUGUAGCUGGUCUGAGAGGACGACCAGCCACACUGGGACUGAGACACGGCCCAGACUCCUACGGGAGGCAGCAGUGGGGAAUUUUGGACAAUGGGCGCAAGCCUGAUCCAGCAAUGCCGCGUGCAGGAAGAAGGCCUUCGGGUUGUAAACUGCUUUUGUACGGAACGAAACGGCUCUGGUUAAUACCCGGGGCUAAUGACGGUACCGUAAGAAUAAGCACCGGCUAACUACGUG
rnacentral:rRNA from 1 species